rnacentral:lncRNA from 1 species
CACAGUUGUAAUAUCUCUGAAAAAAUGAGAUGCAUGAAUCAUGUAGCAAUCUCAUCAAAAAGGUAAGGAAACAAGGUUUUUUAGAAGAAAGGAAGAGCCUUCAGAACUCCAUAGAAGUGAAGCCCAACUCUUGAUCAGUAUGUACCUGAAAUCGAUGUUAUUUAGGAUUUCCUGCCACGUGAGACAGAAGAUUUCCUUAUUGUUUAAACUAGUUGAGUCCUUGCUUUCAGUUCCUGACAAUGAAGGAAAUGGAGGGCAUUUUCUACCUAUCUUUAGUGGAAACUGGAAAAAAGUUAUAACUUUCUUUGUCACAGCAUUCAGCUCUGGCCAAUUCAACUGGAAGUC